GGUCCCCAAGCCAUGGUUAAGUGGUAAACGAGGUGGGAAGGCAUAGACAGCCAGGAGGUUGGCUUAGAAGCAGCCAUCCUUUAAAGAAAGCGUAAUAGCUCACUGGUCGAGUCGUCCUGCGCGGAAGAUGUAACGGGGCUCAAACCAUGCACCGAAGAUGCGGAUAUGUGCGUUCCACCUUAAUUCAUUCGCUCAGUUCAUACGAGCUGCAAGCUGACAGCGCGAAGCGCUGGCAAAGCGCCCUUCAGUUUCGAGUUGAGGGUGAGUGAGUUAAGGGGAACGCACAUAUGGUAGGGGAGCGUUCUGUAGGUCUGUGAAGGUGGCUCGAGAGGGCUGCUGGAGAUAUCAGAAGUGCGAAUGCUGACAUGAGUAGCGAUAAGGCGUGUGAAAAGCACGCUCGCCGAAAGCCCAAGGUUUCCUGCGCAACGUUCAUCGGCGCAGGGUGAGUCGGCCCCUAAGGCGAGGCCGAAAGGCGUAGUCGAUGGGAAACGGGUCAAUAUUCCCGUACCGAUCUGUAAUGCGAUGGGGGGACGGAGAAGGUUAGCUCAGCCAUCUGUUGGAAUAGGUGGUUUAAGCGUGUAGGCGUGCUGCAUAGGCAAAUCCGUGCGGCUUAGCUGAGGCGUGAUGACGAGGGACUUCGGUUCCGAAGUGAGUGAUACCCUGCUUCCAGGAAAAGCCUCUAAGCUUCAGUUACAGAUUGACCGUACCGCAAACCGACACAGGUGGGCAGGAUGAAAAUUCUAAGGCGCUUGAGAGAACCCAGGAGAAGGAACUCGGCAAAUUAACACCGUAACUUCGGGAGAAGGUGUGCCCCGGUAGCGUGUAGUGACUUGCUCACGAAGCGCGAUGGGGUCGCAGAGAAUAGGUGGCUGCGACUGUUUAACAAAAACACAGCACUCUGCAAAGUCGAAAGACGACGUAUAGGGUGUGACGCCUGCCCGGUGCCGGAAGGUUAAGUGAUGGGGUGCAAGCUCUUGAUCGAAGCCCCGGUAAACGGCGGCCGUAACUAUAACGGUCCUAAGGUAGCGAAAUUCCUUGUCGGGUAAGUUACGACCUGCACGAAUGGCGUAACGAUGGCCACACUGUCUCCUCUUGGGACUCUGCGAAGUUGAAGUGUUUGUGAAGAUGCAAUCUACCCGC
rnacentral:rRNA from 1 species